rnacentral:rRNA from 1 species
AUUGAACGCUGGCGGCAUGCCCUACACAUGCAAGUCGAACGGUAACGGGCCUUCGGGUGCCGACGAGUGGCGAACGGGUGAGUAAUACAUCGGAACGUGCCCGAUCGUGGGGGAUAACGAGGCGAAAGCUUUGCUAAUACCGCAUACGAUCUACGGAUGAAAGCAGGGGACCGCAAGGCCUUGCGCGGACGGAGCGGCCGAUGGCAGAUUAGGUAGUUGGUGGGAUAAAAGCUUACCAAGCCGACGAUCUGUAGCUGGUCUGAGAGGAUGAUCAGCCACACUGGGACUGAGACACGGCCCAGACUCCUACGGGAGGCAGCAGUGGGGAAUUUUGGACAAAGGGCGCAAGCCUGAUCCAGCCAUGCCGCGUGCAGGAUGAAGGCCUUCGGGUUGUAAACUGCUUUUGUACGGAACGAAAAGCCUUCUUUUAAUACAGGAGGGUCAUGACGGUACCGUAAGAAUAAGCACCGGCUAACUACGUG